AUGCAUCUAGAUUCCACACUAUGUGUAUUAUGUGAUGCUAAAGAUUAUGAGGACAGAAUACAUCUUCUUUUCUCUUGCCCAUUCAGCUAGGGUUUUUGGUGGAACAUUGGUCUUGAAUGGAACGUUGAUCUGAAUAUCCAUGAUAUGAUUAUUGAAGCCCAUCAAAGAUAUAAACUUCACCAUUUCAUGGAAAUUCUAAUUAUUGGAUGCUGGAGUAUAUGGAAUCAAAGAAAUGAUUUGAUAUCUGAAGGGAUCCCUUGCUCUAUCAAUGACUGCAGAUAUGAAUUUAUCAAGACUUUCAAAUUGACAAUGCUAAGAGCCAAGCCCAGUUUAAAGGAGGGAAUGUCUUCAUGGAUUGAUAACAUUUAA
rnacentral:rRNA from 1 species